rnacentral:tRNA from 1 species
GGUCCCAUCGUCUAGUGGUCUAGGACGCCGGCCUCUCACGCCGGUAACACGGGUUCGAACCCCGUUGGGAUCACCA